AAGGAGACUGCCAGUGAUAAACUGGAGGAAGGUGGGGAUGACGUCAAGUCAUCAUGGCCCUUACGACCAGGGCUACACACGUGCUACAAUGGCAUAUACAAAGAGAAGCGACCUCGCGAGAGCAAGCGGACCUCAUAAAGUAUGUCGUAGUCCGGAUUGGAGUCUGCAACUCGACUCCAUGAAGUCGGAAUCGCUAGUAAUCGUGGAUCAGAAUGCCACGGUGAAUACGUUCCCGG
rnacentral:rRNA from 1 species